AUGGGCAGCUCCAACACCACCAACCCGACGGUUUUCUCUGGCAUCGCGGCCGCCGACGACGUGAAGGAACCAUUCCGGCCGCUUAAGCCCGAGGACGUCCGAUCUUACCUUCACGAGGCUGUGGACUUCAUCUGCGACUACUACACCACCGUGGAGUCCAUGCCAGUUCUUCCCGACGUCAAGCCGGGGUACCUGCAGCACGAGUUCAUGGCGUCCCCGCCAACCUAUCCCGCAGCGUUCCACGUCACCAUGAAGGAGCUCAAGGCCUCCAUCAUCCCUGGCAUGACGCACUGGGCCAGCCCAAACUUCUUCGCUUUCUUCCCGGCCACCAACAGCGCCGCCGCCAUCGCCGGAGACCUCAUCGCCUCCGCCAUGAAUACUGUCGGCUUCACGUGGCAGGCUGCCCCCGCAGCAACUGAGUUGGAGGUACUCGCGCUUAACUGGCUCGCGCAUCUCCUUCACCUGCCCGCCACCUUCAUGAGCCACACGGCCACCGGCGACCGUGGGACUGGUGGCGCCGUCAUCCUCGGUACCACCAGCGAGGCAAUGCUGGUAACGCUCGUCGCCGCGCGUGACGCCGCGCUGCGUCGGAGCCGAUCUGUGAGAGUGUUUGGCACGUCGGGUCUGGUUGUCUACGCCGGGGACCAGACCCACUCCACCUUCUUCAAGGCAUGCCGCCUCGCCGGUUUCGACCCCGCCAACAUCCGUUCGAUCCCCGCCGGCCCAGAGACCCACUACGCACUGGACCCGGCGAAGCUGCUCGAGGCCAUGCAGGCUGACGUCGACGCCGGCCUCGUGCCAACGUACGUUUGCGCCACGGUGGGCACCACAUCUUCCAAUGCUGUCGACCCGGUGGGGGCCGUCGCCGACAUUGCUGCAUCCUUUGGCGCUUGGGUCCACGUCGACGCCGCCUAUGCUGGCAGCGCCUGCAUCUGCCCGGAGUUCCGCCACCACCUCGAUGGUGUCGAGUGCGUGGACUCCAUCAGCGUCAGUCCGCACAAGUGGCUUCUCACCUGCCUCGACUGCACCUGCCUCUAUGUCCGUGACGCCCACCGCCUAAGCGACUCCAUGGAGACAAACCCGGAGUACCUCAAGAACGAUGCUACCGACUCCGACGAGGUCACUGAUCUCAAGGACAUGCAGGUCGGCUUGGGCCGACGAUUUCGUGGGCUCAAGCUGUGA
rnacentral:rRNA from 1 species